AUUCUCCUGAACGGUCACUCCCUGCAAUUCUACUCAGGGUAGAAGUAGAUGCUGGAGAGAGUGGCCUUCCCUCUGGCCUCUUCUGUGACUUAUCUGGUUCUGGGGUCAAUAAAUGUUUGGGUUCAAAGGGCUUUUCUCUUCCCAAAGUAAAUAGAAGGAAUGGAGAUGUGAAGAGUGCAAGUCACUAAAUGGGAAUAUAUUGUCAGCUUACUGUAAUUUACCCGUUUGCUGGUCACUUUUUACUCAUGUCAUCAUUCAUUGUACUUGUUAUUGCAGGUGUUAGGUGCAGCACUGAAGUAAACAGACAGGAAAACAGCCUACUAGUCACUUACAGUGAUGUGGGAGUUUUGCCAGCCCAAACAUGGAUCCCUAACAACAUGGUAGCUCUUUACAGCAGAGCUUUAUAAAGACAACAAAACGAGUAACUGACAGUGGUAAUGAUUGAACCGACACUGCAGAAUAAGAACUACAACAUUUUACACUAUCUGGUUGAUAUAUGACUACAAAUAGAUUCAUUUCCAAUCCCUCUUUACUCUCGUAAAAAUCUUAGCCAGGUGUGCAACAGAAUAUCCCCAUAAUUGAGUGAAUUCUUCCCAAAUUAUUCAAGUUCUCCUGGUCCCUACACGGGAGCCGGCUCCAGGGUGCUCCUUGAGAGGUAUCUCUUUGGUCCCACUGAAGGUAGCUUACUUUGGGGAGGAAAAUCUCCUAUACAUUGAUACUCUUGGGAAUUGGCGGCGAAUUCCUGCCCCUCAUUUCCAGCGCCUGGGGAAUGACUUCCUGCUCGCACCAGGCUCUGAUCUCGCUCCUACCCCCUCUCAUUCUGAACUGUCCAGGGGAGCACAUGGGAGGGAGUUUUAUUUCCUCCUGGAGCAGAAAUGGGGGCCAGGCUAAAACGAGAUUUCCCCCGUGGGCAGAAACACGGAUGCCCCACGACGGUGUGAAAUCCUAACUCUCUCCCUCCCUGCUCCACCCACACACACCCGCGGGACUCAUAGGUCACUGUUCAACCAUCUCGCCGGCCCGAGCAUCUGGGCCGUGACGUCAUCAACACCCGCCCACCGCGCGCCCGAGGUUGACAAGGUCACGGAGGGCAGACCUGUAAAAGCUGUUCAACUUGGUACCGUCCACGCUGAGCGCCUCUCCCUCGACGGCAGGGUCUCGUAGCAUCAGCUGAUGAUAACAGCUCGGGACCAGGAGCGUCAUCCAGAGAUUCACUCCCACGUCUAGCAGUUGAUGCUGGCUGAUACUGGGACUUCAGCUCAGGCUGUUGGCUGGAACACCUACAUGUGGCCUCUCCGUGAGCCAGCUUGGCUUCCUUGCACAAUGGCCGGCUUCCAAGAGCAAGUGUCCCAAGAGGACAAGGCAGAAGUCCAAGGCAUUUUCUGACCUACCUUUGGAGAUCAUAUGGCACCACUUUCCACUAUAUUGAGGCCAUCACAGAGGUUGACCAGGUUUGAGAGGUUAGCAGCAGUGAAGAAAUUGUGUUCAUUCCUCAUCUAUCAGCAGAACCAAAUACAGCGGCUUCCUUUCUGAAACUUGCAUUCAUUGUUACCACCAAGAAACUGUUGAGAAAUACUUCAAAAAAAAAAAGAAAAAGGAUAUGAAGUGACCCUCAAAACCUUUAUGUCUUCCCACCAUUUGUCCAUCAGCUGCCUGCUUUCAGUUCCCAUGUUUUGGAGUUUUCUUUGUGUCCUUAUUUUCUACAGUGCUAUAGAACAAGUAUUCCACCUUGAGGAGACAAGGAAGGCUGUGGAAUCAGAGGAACUCUGCAAUCAAGAAAUAUUUAAAGAAGAAAAAAAAAAAAGAUACUAUGAAGUCCUAAUGGCCAGCUCCUAGCUGCAAACCAAGAAAGCUCACUUGGUGAUUAUAAAUUUCAAUCACAGUAAUACCUAAAGAACUAAUUUUAGCCAGUUCCUUCACAGCAUAUGGAUCAUCCAUUGUCAGAGAAGUGAUACAAUUUCUGAAUUAAGUUUAGUCUCUUAAGGGGAAUUAAUAAGAAUAUUUAAGAAAUCAUUUAAGAUAUGAGCUAAGAAUUUAGACAGUAAUCUAAGCUUAAUCUCUAAGAAAAGGAGCUCUCUUUCACAAUUCAUGGGUUUCUCUGCAACUGAUAAGCAUGAAACAUAGUUUCAAGGGUAACUGAAUCUGAUCAAAAGUGAAGUUAAAUUUGAGCAUAAUAAAUUCAGGUAUCACGACGUGUAAUGGGGAAAAGACUGUCAUUGUAAAAUUAUCUAAAUUAUUGGGACUGAGGCAAAAGCAUACUAAAUUUGAUCCUCUGACAUAGAUUUCUUUUAAAUAAGUCUCUAAGCAAUCUUAUAAACAGCUUGGAGAUUGGUGUACUUUAUGAAAAAUAUUGAAAAUAGGAGACUUUUUUUUAUAUAUUUUUUUCUUUUUAAUAUUUUUUUUCUUUUAGCCGUGCUUCAGGGCAAUUCAGGAUCCUAGUUCCCUGACCAGGGAUCGAA